rnacentral:misc_RNA from 1 species
GCAUUCGUGAUGAGUUCCCCUGAGGUAACAGGAGAAUCCCCAGAGGGCAGGUCUAAAGGCUUCCUUUUCUCCCCAAAUGCCGCAUUCUUCACAGUUCAACCCUGUUGGAUCAUUCCUGUCUCCUUAUAUAUACAGGAGACCCAUGUGUUCCUAUAGAAGCACCAGUUGACUGUUGUGUGCCCAAGUUUUAGAUUGAGCUCUUUAGCCUUGGUUGUUCUGAAGACUUAUACUUCUGAUUGGACUACCGAAUGCGUGUAUCUAUCUGAGAAGAACAACUAACAAACUAUGGUUAUUCAACUUUGGGUAUUUGGCAGACAUUUUCUUGAAAAUCAACCAACAUUGCCAAGUAAUUCUUCCUGUUGACUCCUGAUUUUCGG